rnacentral:rRNA from 1 species
GACGAACGCUGGCGGCGUGCUUAACACAUGCAAGUCGAACGGUGAAGCGCCUUCCGUUUUGGUGGGUGUGGAUGAGUGGCGAACGGGUGAGUAACACGUGAGUAACCUGCCCCCUUCUUCUGGAUAACCUCAUGAAAGUGUAGCUAAUACGGGAUAGUCUGGUGCUGUCGCAUGAUGGGUCUGGGAAGGAUAGUGUUGCGGUGGGGGAUGUGCGCGCGUCCUAUUAGCUUUGUGGUGGGGUGAUGGGCUAGGAUGGCGGUGACGGGUGGACGGCCUGAGAGGGUGGCCGGUGAGAAGGGGAAUGAGACACGGCGGGGACUCCUACGGGAGGCAGCAGGGGGGAAUAUUGGACAAUGGGAGCAAGCCUGAUGCGGCGACGCCGCGUGGGGGAUGGAGGCCGGCGGGUUGUGAACCUCUUUCGCCAGUGAAGCAGGCCUGCCUCGUUUGUGGGUGGGUUGACGGUAGCUGGAGAAGAAGCGCCGGCUAACUACGUG